AUGACCGCUUCCGCCUCGGGCGCCGCCAGCUCCGGGUCUAUCCCCGCGACGCUUGUCGCCCUCCUCAACCUCCCACCUCGUCCCCUGGCUCCGUCCGUGCCUCAGUUCUUCGGCACCACCGCCGUCGGCUCCCUGUUUUCAGCGCCGAUCCCACCGUCACUGCCCGCGACGGCCUCAGCACCAGUCGCGCCGCCGCCGCCCGCGAUGGCCCCCUCUGGAUCCUCCUCGACACUCGCCGUCAUCCCGGCGACCUCGGGGGAGACGCUGCCCGCGGAGCCACCCGCGGCCUCGCUUACGGCACCACCCGCGGCCGUGAUCCCGAUCGUCCCCGCGCCGCCACCCGCGGCAUCGAUCGCGGUCGUGGAUCCUGUCGCAGCUCCGGCGCCAAUCGUCCCUGCUACUGGCGCAAGCACGCCCACCGGGCCGUUCCACUUCGACAACUUGAUCGCCAUCCGACUCACGCCGGACAACUACUUGUUCUGGCGCGCCGAGGUUCUACCGCUGCUACGCAGCCGGUCUCUCCUCGGGUUUGUUGAUGGUUCGCUACUGUGUCCUCCGCAGGUCAUCCCUACCAUCCAUGGCCCGGCCAUCAACUCGGAACACCGUAUGUGGGUGCAGCAGGACCAAGCGAUCCUCUCUGCCAUCCAGGGUUCCCUCGGCGACGGGGUCGCUGGCCUUUGUCUCUUCGCAGCCACCUCCAUGGACGCCUGGACGACCCUGGAGCACGCUUUUGCCCAGGUCUCUACCUCCCGCUCGAUGGCCCUUCGCAGCGAACUCGCCGACAUCAAGAAGCUGGACUCCUCCGCUACGACCUACUUCAACAAGAUGAAGGUGCUGGCGGACACGCUCACCUCUAUUGGUCGGCCGCUUAGCGACGAGGAGUUCGCCGGCUUCGUCAUCAAAGGCCUCGACGCCGACUACGACAAUCUCGCCGAGGCUGUCCACAAUGCCAAGCCAGCGAUGCCUCCUCACGAGCUCUACUCACGCCUCCUCUUCACCGAGCAACGCUUCGAGGCUCGUCGCUCCUCCGCCACCAUCACCGCCCAGCCGGCGGCCUUCUGGGCCUCUCGUGGCCAGCCCCCAUCUGCCCCGUCACCUGGCAAGGCAGCCCCGCCCCCUGCAUCGACCCUGGUUGGGGGCCCUAACACUAGGGUGGUGUGCCAGCUAUGUGGUCGUGAACGCCAUGUCGCCUCCAAGUGUCACCGCCGCUUUCAGAGGAGCUUCCUUGGCAUCGGCAACGACGGCAAGGGCAACGAGCGCCAGUUUGCCAUGGCAGACUUUGGUCCUCCCGCCGCCGCCCCGGCUGCCCACAUCGCUGCCGCCCCGUCUUCCCACAUCACCGCCAAGGGCAAGGACCCGCACGUCGAGCAGGGAUACACACCAUCCUACCCUGUUGAUCCAGCCUGGUACAUGGACACCGGCGCCACGGAUCACAUGACGAACGAGCUCAACAAACUCUCCACCUACCAGCCCUACUAUGGGCACGAUCAGGUUCACACCACCAAUGGUGUAGGUAUGCCCAUCUCUCAUAUUGGCCAAGCAUCUCUUUUAACUAGUCAUCCCUCUAGGCAGCUCCAUCUUCGUAAUGUUUUACGGGUACCCUCGGUAACUCGUAAUCUUUUAUCUGUCCCUAAGCUCACCCUUGAUAAUCAUGUCCUAUGUGAAUUUCACCCUUUUAAUCUUUUUGUUAAGGAUCGAGCAACCCGGGACGUUCUGCUUAGUGGUCGGUUGAGCCAAGGCUUGUACCGUUUGGAGGAUCAAUCUGCCCCGUGCGUCUUCAGCGGUGUUCGUGUGGCCUUCCCAGUGGCACUCUCGCUUUGGUCACCCCGCCACACCCAUCGUUCGCCACAUAAUCCACCGUCAUGA
rnacentral:rRNA from 1 species